GUGAAACUGGCUUUGGACAUCUCAACAACAUCAUUAAAAAGUGGAAGAAAAUGAAGACAUCCCUUUGACAUUCUGAAGGAAAUGAUUUCCAAUUUAGAAUUUUAUACCUGGCCAAGCUGUCAAUCAAGUGGAAUAGAGAUAUUUUCAGAAAUGGAAAGUCUCAAAAAGUUUACCUCCCAUGCCCUCUUUCCCAGGAAACAACUAGAGAAUGUGUUCCUCCAAAGGGAGAGAGCAAACCAAGAAAGAAGAAUGCAGGAGACACAGGAAGAGGGGAGAAAGCACUGGAGAGAGGCGAGGGGAGAAGAGAUGCCCCGAAGCCAGCCGUGCCCCCCGCAGACAGGGCAACCUAUCCAGACCAAAGCGGGUAGAAGCUUCCAGGGGAGAUUCCUCCAAGAGAUGAAGUUAAUAGGACACCUGACACAUCUGGACAUCUUGAGAUUGAAACAGCAGGUGGAAAUUUUUCAUUUGAGAUGGGCGAUGAGAGCAAAGAAAACUAAGCAAAUAAAAUAAAGACAAUUAGUGACUCCAGGGAAAACAAAAAGUUGUACAGUGGUGUCACUACACUGGACAGCUUUCCUCCUGCCAUUCUGAUCACAUGUCCUGUUCUGGAUCCUCCUCCUUCUCCCUCGCCCCAGAGGUCACCCUACAUUUUGCUUCAAAGUCAGCCAGGCUCCCCAAUCAAGGCAGAAGGAAUUCCAUGGUCUUUAUACUGGAUCCAAAGGUAACUGCUUCCCCAGGACAGAGCACCUCAUAGAC
rnacentral:lncRNA from 1 species